rnacentral:rRNA from 1 species
AUUGAACGCUGGCGGCAUGCCUUACACAUGCAAGUCGAACGGCAGCAUGGGUGCUUGCACCUGAUGGCGAGUGGCGAACGGGUGAGUAAUGCAUCGGAACGUACCCGGAAGUGGGGGAUAACGUAGCGAAAGUUACGCUAAUACCGCAUAUUCUGUGAGCAGGAAAGCGGGGGAUCGCAAGACCUCGCGCUUCCGGAGCGGCCGAUGUCGGAUUAGCUAGUUGGCGGGGUAAAGGCCCACCAAGGCAACGAUCCGUAGCGGGUCUGAGAGGAUGAUCCGCCACACUGGGACUGAGACACGGCCCAGACUCCUACGGGAGGCAGCAGUGGGGAAUUUUGGACAAUGGGGGCAACCCUGAUCCAGCCAUGCCGCGUGAGUGAAGAAGGCCUUCGGGUUGUAAAGCUCUUUCGGCUGGGAAGAAAUCGCAUCUCCUAAUACGGGGUGUGGAUGACGGUACCAGCAUAAGAAGCACCGGCUAACUACGUGCCAGCAGCCGCGGUAAUACGUAGGGUGCGAGCGUUAAUCGGAAUUACUGGGCGUAAAGCGUGCGCAGGCGGUUUCGUAAGACAGAGGUGAAAUCCCCGGGCUCAACCUGGGAACUGCCUUUGUGACUGCGAGGCUAGAGUAUGGCAGAG